rnacentral:rRNA from 1 species
CCUACGGGAGGCUGCAGUGGGGAAUAUUGCACAAUGGGCGCAAGCCUGAUGCAGCCAUGCCGCGUGUGUGAAGAAGGCCUUCGGGUUGUAAAGCACUUUCAGCGGGGAGGAAGGCGGUGAGGUUAAUAACCUCAUCGAUUGACGUUACCCGCAGAAGAAGCACCGGCUAACUCCGUGCCAGCAGCCGCGGUAAUACGGAGGGUGCAAGCGUUAAUCGGAAUUACUGGGCGUAAAGCGCACGCAGGCGGUCUGUCAAGUCGGAUGUGAAAUCCCCGGGCUCAACCUGGGAACUGCAUUCGAAACUGGCAGGCUAGAGUCUUGUAAAGGGGGGUAGAAUUCCAGGUGUAGCGGUGAAAUGCGUAGAGAUCUGGAGGAAUACCGGUGGCGAAGGCGGCCCCCUGGACAAAGACUGACGCUCAGGUGCGAAAGCGUGGGGAGCAAACAGGAUUAGAUACCCUAGUAGUC